rnacentral:tRNA from 2 species
GCGCCCGUAGCUCAACCGGAUAGAGCAACGGCCUUCUAAGCCGUAGGUUGUUGGUUCGAUUCCAAUCGGGUGCGCCA